rnacentral:lncRNA from 1 species
UGUUUUGCCAAAGUCCUGCCCACACAGAGGGGAUCACUGAAACCAGUAUCCAGGUGAUAUUGUUCCAUAUACCUGAGACCAUAACAAAAGCCUAAUUACAACUCAUAUGGCUGGAGCCAGGACAUGUGCAGGAUGGUGAUGUAAUUCUCCUCUCUGGAACAGGCCAUGAACAAAGGAAAGAUCGUGACAUAUUGCAAGAUCAGGCACACAC